GAAAAAUUGUAUUUUUAAAUUUAUUAUCAACGGUGUCUUUCGCAUUUGAGAAAACACAUUUGAAGAUGCCCAUGCAGUUCCUUGGAAGUAAACUAGGUCACCCACCACUGAAACACCCUCGGCUUCUGCAAAAAGAUGUGCUUUAAAGAGAAUAGAAUGGACGCUCGGUAUGUUCAUCUAAACGACCUUGGGCAAGUACGUCGAUUCCAAGGUACAAUCAGCCCUCCCAGACGGCUUUUCGAGUCUCCCUAACCCCGGUGGGAGAGGACGCGGCGCCAG
rnacentral:lncRNA from 1 species